GAUGAACGCUGGCGGCGUGCCUAAUACAUGCAAGUCGAGCGAACGGACGAGAAGCUUGCUUUUCUGAUGUUAGCGGCGGACGGGUGAGUAACACGUGGAUAACCUACCUAUAAGACUGGGAUAACUUCGGGAAACCGGAGCUAAUACCGGAUAAUAUUUUGAACCGCAUGGUUCAAAAGUGAAAGACGGUCUUGCUGUCACUUAUAGAUGGAUCCGCGCUGCAUUAGCUAGUUGGUAAGGUAACGGCUUACCAAGGCAACGAUGCAUAGCCGACCUGAGAGGGUGAUCGGCCACACUGGAACUGAGACACGGUCCAGACUCAUACGGGAGGCAGCAGCAGGGAAUCUUCCGCAAUGGGCGAAAGCCUGACGGAGCAACGCCGCGUGAGUGAUGAAGGUCUUCGGAUCGUAAAACUCUGUUAUUAGGGAAGAACAUAUGUGUAAGUAACUGUGCACAUCUUGACGGUACCUAAUCAGAAAGCCACGGCUAACUACGUG
rnacentral:rRNA from 1 species